CAAGAUGGACGAGACGGCCGCGCCUCUCGUUGGAGCUCCAGCACCGAGGUGCCAUCGACUCGCCUGAUCUGCUGCUCCCCGCAUUCCACGCGCGCGCGUUUUCUCCCCGCCAACGUGCCGCCAAGGCAGCAACUGUUGGAAGGAAAGGCGUCCCGACGGCGGCGCCGUCCACCGAGGAUCCGCGCGCAAGCAUCCGCCGGCUCUCCGUCCAGUGGCCAGUUCGCCGCCGCAUCAAUUUAGUGGCUGUGAAUCUGUUGCUACUUUCCUGACUGCAUCAAUUUCAUCAGGGGCCUCUGAAUUUGAUGGGGAAGAAGACAGUGCGUGGAGCGGAACACCACUCAGAUGGUGGAUGCCGCACAAGUGGACGACGGAAAUACCUAUUUGAAUAUCUGUAGUGAUGAUUGUUUGUGUUGUCAAAUAAUGUUUUUGUGAUGCUCCGUUCACUCAAACAUAUAUAUGCACCUUGUCUUGCCGUGUGGUCAUUUUAUUUAAUUUGGAUGUUAUCUCA